rnacentral:rRNA from 1 species
AGUGAACGCUGGCGGUAGGCCUAACACAUGCAAGUCGAACGGCAGCACAGUAAGAGCUUGCUCUUACGGGUGGCGAGUGGCGGACGGGUGAGGCAUACAUCGGCUUCUACUUUUUCGUGGGGGAUAACGUAGGGAAACUUAUGCUAAUACCGCAUACGACCUACGGGUGAAAGCAGGGGAUCUUCGGACCUUGCGCGAUUGAAUGAGCUGAUGUCGGAUUAGCUAGUUGGCUGGGUAAAGGCCCACCAAGGCAACGAUCCGUAGCUGACCUGAGAGGAUGAUCAGCCACACUGGAACUGAGACACGGUCCAGACUCCUACGGGAGGCAGCAGUGGGGAAUAUUGGGCAAUGGGCGCAAGCCUGAUCCAGCCAUGCCGCGUGAGUGAAGAAGGCCUUCGGGUUGUAAAGCCCUUUUGUUGGGAAAGAAAAGCAGCAGGUUAAUACGCCGCUGUUCUGACGGUACCCAAAGAGUAAGCACCGGCUAACUUCGUG